AGCACAGUGGUGCAGUGGGUAACACAGCCACCUCGCAACAAGAAGGUCAUGGGUUUGAAUCCUUUCUGUGUGG